GUGUGUUUCAAAUGAAAGGUCAAACAGGAGAUCGGUUUCAGUUUGGAGCUACAGGAGGAGUAAGAAGAAUCAUUCUGAGGCUCCUCACUGUGAUGGACUGAGGAGCCUUAUUUAUUCCCUGUGGAUAGUGGCCUGCCACUGGAGAGCCACAGGCUGGAGUGACAGAGCUGACUCAUGGGGUAGGGAGAAAAUGGCCUGGAUCACUGACAGAGGAAUCAAACUCAGGACCUUGUGCUUGCAAGGCAGGCGGCAGAACUACUGAGCUAAAUUCCCGGCCCACAAUGUUCAUUUUCAUUGCUGUGAUUACAUUACACUGGUACCGGGGAUCAAACUCAGGACCUUGCACUUGCAAGGCAGGCAGCAGCACCACUGAGCUAAAUCCCCAGCCCUAUUAUACAUUUUUAAAAGUUGCAGAUGGGUGACUGCUGCCUGAUCCUGGGUGAGAGGCAUUUUCUUUGCCAGUUGUCCAAAGAAUGGAAAUUUCCUGCAGUUUCACAGACAUAAUGGAUAUAUGCUGACUUUUUAAAAGCCAUCUGUUACUAGGGGCAAAAAGAAAUAAAAGAGGAAAAUACUUACUUUUAGACUCUCUAAUAUACGUGAAAAAAAAUCUUCCUAAAGAAAUGAGCAAAAAAAAAAAAGAAAGAAAGAAAAGAAAAGAACAACAGUCUUCAUAAAUCUGGAUCCUAGUACUCAUAUUGCAGGUUACCAGGUUCCAAGUGGCAUCUUAAGACCGGGAGGACACAAGGAACAAGGUGCAGCCUAAUCUGAAGAACAAGGGCAGUUCCUACGGAUGUGGACCUUGAGCAUCAGCUGGGCAGAAUGAAGUGAGACAGAAGCUGUCUCCUCGCUGAGUCUGGCAGCCAAAGAGGCUCAGGGGCCCGGACCCAGGAUGAACCUCAUGGGAAACCUCUUGGACCUCACCUUGCAGAUUCUACCAACUUUGCUACUAGGCUGUAACCUUGAUGAAUGGAAAAGGCAGAUCUCACCAGAUAAAGGAGGAGACCAAGUCAGACAACAAGGAAAUUAUCCACAUCAAACCCUCUGUUGCGAGUUCAAAAUGGUUGGAUGCAGUGCUUUUCUUAUAGCAGAAGUACUAUGGGGGAGGGGAGUUGCAUGCCUGCAUUGGUGUUUUAUAGCAACUACAUGUGGCCCAGAACUUUGGGAUAUUCCUGUCCUGUCUGCAUUCCAGCCGUGUCAAGAUCUUGCUUCUGUUUUUCAUGAAAAGAGCUCUGUGCUGUUUACAUGAGCUGCAGCUUGACCCGCAGCUGUACAACUUUCUUCUUCUAUUGUCUCAGGUCAAGAUGAAUUACAGACAGAGCCUUGACCAUAAAUAUUUAAUGAUUUUUAUCUUCAAAGCAUUGUGCAAGCACACUUAGUCUUAUUUUGAAGUGCUGAGUAGGCAUCUCCGAUCUUCUUUUAUGACAUAGUUUCUUUUUUAAAUGCUAGUCGCACCCUUUAUUCUGAAUCCUUAAUACAAGGCUGAGUUGUCUUUUUAUAAUAGCUUUAUUAAGAUAUAACUCAUAUAAUCAUAAAAUUUACCCUUUUAAAAUGUAGUGCUCAGUGGUUUUUAGUAUUUUUGGAGUUGUGCAACCAUUGCCACUCUCUGAUCUUAGAAUACUGUCUUCAUCACUCUGAAACGAAAUUGAUUUUCAGUAACUCUCCAUUCUGCCUCCCUCACCCUAUCUGACCUAAAGUACCUGUGGCAGACACUAAUCUAUUUUCUGUCUUUAUACCUAUUCUGAACAGUCUCACAUGUUUCUACUUGCCUUCUUUCUCUGCUACCUGCCUCCAUGAGAAGAGCAUCCCAGGGAUUGUCCACUUAUCCCAGAAGGUGAAUGAAAGACACUUGGAAAUGGAACAGAACUUUUCACCUCAGACAAGAGCAACUGCUUCGCAAAUUACUCAGAGUAGCUUGAACUAAAUAAAUCCUUGCUGUUACAUUCCACUGAGCUCUUGUGACCAUUUGUUAUGCAGUGAUAGCUUACUAAUACAAUGGCCAUUGUUAGCAACUCAGUUUUCCAUCUUAUGUUUUCACCAUCCAAGAGAGAUGGGGACAACUAGUGUCUGGUUCCAGCUAAGGGCUCUGAUUGACCCAUCCCUAAUUAUAAGUUAACAGGUUAGCCUGGCAUAGUUUCAUGGAAGUAAGCCAACAAAAUGUGGCCAUGAAGUGACAUGGAAGUGAAGACAUUAUUGUCACUGUUAUGUGAAGGAGUGGGGACAAUUGCUGAGAAAGGAAGGGGUGCUGGACACAUAGAACAUGCAGUCAUGACCUAGGAGGGACAAUGAGGUGCUACCCAAGCAGAGUGCAACUAUGUUCUUGGCACGUUUUACUUAUGUCUGUUCAGUCAUCAGGGAGAGAGCGAGCGAGCGAGAGAGAGAGAGAGAGAGAGGACCGAAUAAUGGUAAUUUUUCCUGGGAUGAAAGUGAAGUGUGUGUGUGUGUGUGUGUGUGUGUGUGUGUGGCUAUUGGAGAUAAGAAUCUCUGGUUAAAGGGUGGGCAUGGUGGCUCACACGAAUGAUCCCAGCACUGGGGAGGCUGAGGCAGGAGGAUCGCUGCGAGUUUGAGGCCAGCCUGGGCUACACAGUGAGUUCUAGGCCAGCCUGGACUACAUAGUGUGACCCUGUCUCAAAAAACCAAAACCAAAACAAACGAACAACAACAAAUAUCUGCUGUUAACUCGGCCUAAAUUCCAAGUCAUCACUCAAAAGGUUUAAGUCAUUUGCUAUACUGAAUGUGAUUCUAUGUAUUUUUGAACAGCUGUUUAUUUUAAACUAUAUAUAAUAGUAUACAUUGUAUAAUUACUCAUACUUCUUCCUGUAUAAUAUUGCAUUACAAAACCAUAUGUACUAUACUUAAUGGGAAGUUUAAGGAAUUUUCAAGUGCAACUGUCCAUUUCCAUACCUGCAUUAAGAAGCUUUUUCUCAGAAAUUACAUGUGUCUCAGAAGGGUGGAAGACAGGACCUGAGUGAGCAAAUAUUGCUUUUUAUCAUUUGGUGAAACAAAGGCUUAAAGUAGAAAUUAAGUAGAGUUUUGGAAAAAUAUUUUUUAAAUUCAAAUGAGUUUGUGAGUUGAGAUUCACACUACAACUCUACCCUUGUUAGUCUCACAUGUUAUUAUAGAAAAUGCAGUUGAGGUAGAAAGGAAUAUUAGAUGGUAGUGACAAAGAAUGAAUUAGUGCUACACGGAACAGCAGAUGAAUCUUACAAAUAUAAUGUUGAAUGAAAAAGAUUCAUAAGAGCGUUUAGUAUAUGAUCCUGUUUAUAUUAGGUUUCACACCAGGAAAAACUAAUCAAUAAUGUUAGAAAUGUUAGAAUGAGAUAAGGAAACAGAACUUGGGCACUGGCAGGAUACCUGAGACAGUUUUGCAUCCUGGAUUCUCUUCCAGCUGAUUGAGGUCCAUGGGAGACAAGGAUGGAGGUGUCAAAUCAUCCAGAGCAGAACCUGUGUGCCAGUCCCUGGAGACGGUCUAGAAAUUCAGGGGCACUUGGGGACUUGCACACAUCAGAAGAAAUAUCUGAGUAGGUGAGUGUGAGGUAUUGCCACUAAACCCUCUGUGCUGUUCACAGCUGGGUAGGAGCAUCAGAGUAUUCUGGCACAGGUAGCGGUGGCAUGGAUAUGGUCCAGAAGGUUGGCAGCCUUGAAAUGUUUUUGUUUUCUGGGCAAGGAUGGCCCAGCACUGCCCUGCUAGACUCAGUCAUAUUGUGCAGAUGGUGGAUCAGUUGGCCCUGACAAGAUGGCACUUUUAGCCAUCACAGAAUUUUCUGGAGAAGCCAGCUCUUCAUCCUUUCUUUUAGACUUUAAAAUCUUCAUAAAAAUGCUAUGGACCUACAGAGAGUAGUAUAUUUGAGCUCAGGAUUCUAGCAGAAUCAUGGACUUGAAAACAGUCAUGAUUUCUUGCCAUGGAUUACUUCUGCUUCUCCCUGUGUCCUUUCUCUUUGGUAAUGACUGGUUUUUCUCUCCUUCUUAGUCUACAUAGAGGAACAUGCUACCAGCUGGACCAAAGUUUUAAAUGUGAAAAUGCAAAUCCAGGAAAAGAGAUCUAUCCCUCUUCCGAAGCCCAAAGUGAACAUUUUCAAGGGGAUAAGAUUGAUUAGCCUACACUGGGAUGGUGCUCUCUGAAUCGAUAGCUUGUAGCUAGAAGAACAGGAUAAUACUGUACAAACUAUGUGGCUUGAUUUUUUUGACAAGGGGAAGGCAAGAUCUACAAAAGUAGGACAAGUGGUGGGACCAACAAUGUGAGUUCAGGGUGGUCAGUCCUCUUUGGCUUCUUUUCAUGGCUGCUGAGAAAGAAGAUGGAACAGGUUCCCUGAGCCCUCAUCCAAGGAAGUAAGAAUUGAUUACUAGCUUAGCCAUUACUUUACCUUGCUUGCAGACAUGUCCUCCUUUGAACUCUCUUUGUUUUUCUUUAUCUAUCUCCAGCCUGUAGACAAAGAAGCUCUGCUGAGGCUCCCAAGUGAAAGGUGCUGUCCCAUUUUACAAAAGCCUUAGGACCAGUCCUCAGAACACUUUGGUCCUUUGCCAUCCGAGAGCAAGUACACGGAGGUGUCUUGAGGCGUUAAGCGCCAGCUUGCAGAGAUAGUGAGGUAUAUUUUAGAACCCAAACUGCUGUCAGGGAACAUAUGGAUUUUGUUAUUUCCAUCCUAGCAGCUUUCUCUCCAUGGGUUUUGACAUAUGAAUUUCAAAAGGAGGGAGUGUUUUCCUGAUUGACACCUCAGAAAUACUCUUUGUGGCAAAAUCACAAAUAUUUCCAGAUCUUGCUGGGCAUGGAGAUGGCUGAGCUGCUGGAGACAUUCUAUCAGUGUCACUUGACACAGCGUGUGAGGUCAGGCAGGGGUGAACACUGUUGGCUGGACACAAAGGUUGAGCAUUAUCUGCUCUGUGGGGGGACACAUCACACUCAGCCAGCUCAGGAGGGAGACUGACACAUGUGGGUCAUUGCACGGAGUCUUUUCUCCCUGGCAGAGCAAAGCAGGCCUGACAUUCCCGGAAGAAAAUGACACUGAAAGCAGUCAGACAAAGGCCAGGCAAGCAUUACCAAGGCUUUCUGGAAAAAGCUUUCUUCGUGGACUCACGCCAAUCAUUACUUUACUUACCUUAACUAAUUCAUUUCUUGUUUUUGUUCCUUAAUAAAAGAAAGGCAACUGUCAUUUAUUGAAUUUUUUGUGGGCUAGGAUUGGUAGUGUGCAAGAAAUGGCUUGGCCAAGCUCAGGAGAACCAACUGAACAAUUUCCAGGAAUCCUGCAAGAUAACUGUUAAACACAAGCCAUUAUUAAAAAUUAAAUUAUACUAACAUAUAAUUAAACUGUGUUAGAACAGAGGUAAUAAAUACUCAAAACUCAUCACAUUCUAAUUAUUUUACUACAUUGUACUGUUGUGCUCAUGAACUUAUUUGUAUCUACUGCAUCUGUAUGUUGGAAAUACUGUAAAAUAACUUGCUACUGUGCAUCUCUGUGAAAAUUGGCCGUAGUGGGAGGAACUAGCAAAUGUUACAAAUCUGGGCCGGUUUUAAAAAUUGUUUUCAUCCUUCAAGAUAAUGACAACAGUGGAGAAAAUGUUAAUAAUACAGAUUAAAUUAAAAAUGUAUGUUUGUAGCUGAUACACUAUCAGCUACAAAAAUUUUGGAAAAUAGUAUUUGAAACUCAUUCCUUGAUUUGGUAAAGAAGUUGUAGUUGUUCAUGUCAUUGACCCAUGACCGAAAUUCUGACAUUUUCAUCUCAUUUUUAUCUUUUGAAUGUUAACAAAAAUAUCAAACAACAUAUCUGUGUCACAGCUAUACUCAUUUGUCAGUUGCAGCCAUAGGUUGGCUGUGGAUGCAACAGUUCAACAAUUCCUUGAAAGCAUUUUGUGAGAAUUAACUGGCUAAAUGAAAUUUACAAUAAUGAAUAUAGUAUAUCUCAUUAUUAGUAGUGAAUUAUGCGUGACAUAUCUUUUUAUCAGUAGAAUUUCCAUAAACAUUUAUGAAUACUCACACAUUUUUGAGGAGGGGUAAUUAUUAGCUAUUGUUACCUUUGCUAUGAAUAUACUUCCCUCUUUACCUUGUCUUCCAAGACCCAAUUCAAAGUCUGAUCUACCCCUUCUUUCUGGUCCUAUGUUGCAGCCCUUGUUACCAGUGCAUUAGGGUUUGGGAAGUUCCCUGUACUUUCUAGAAUAAGUAGAGUGGAAGAGCAGGAACCUUGAAUAUUCAGCUCUGAACAAGUUAGAGCUGUGCUCAAUGCUUGAUACCUAGGAGUUGUCCACAAGGUGUGGGUUGAAAGAGAGAGCAAGAACCCUGGGCAGAAGUGGGGAGAAAGAGAAAAGAAAGUGGUCAUGUACGUAGAAAAGGGGCAGUGGGCAGUACUGCUACCUGCCAUGUAGGUUGACAUACUCAGGUGUGUUUGCUCACUGCUGACCAAAUCAAAGGAGGCCAUUUAUUUUGGUAAAAAAGAAAAAGGAUUUAUUCAAAGCUAGCUCUAAGGAAAUGGAGGUGCCCUUUUGCCUCCAACCCCAAGCUCACUGUGUACAGGUGUGAAGGGACAGGGAGAGGGAACACAGAGAUAAUGCACAUCUUCACCCUUGCUUUGUGGCUUCAGGCAUCUUCAGCUCCUUCUCUACUUUCUUGUAGAAAGGAAACUGGGCCCUGGCCUCCAUGGGGCUGGUAUCUGCAAUUUUGUCACUUUUGGGGGGCAGACGAGAGAAGGGCGUGUUGGUUAUGUGCUCAGUAGGAGAUGUGUGGAGAAAUGUAGAGAAGUUGCUUAUCUCUAAAAUUAAAAAAUUAUAAUUUAAAGUUCCAUUUUGUGGUGCCAGUUACAAUAGUAUAGAGCACAUUUUGAUAUUUAAGUUUACUUAGGGUUCCUGCAGUCUGUAUCGAAUGCAGCAAGUUUUGGCUGAUCAAACCACAACACUGAUAAACUGGAUUUGUUUGGAAAUGACCUAGACUUUACAAGAGCAAGACAAGUCACCAGCUAAUCAUAUCACUUAAGGUACUUGACAUGAUCCUGGCUGAGCUCAGCUCAGUGAUUAAAUCCUUCCAGACAGUUUUUUCUUUUUAAGCAACAGUCACUGAACACCUAUUUGAAUGUGGUAGGCACUAGAUUUUCCACAUGUCCUAUGUAAGAGACAACAUCAGAAGCCCAUGAGAACCUGCUUUCCUCCGAGGAACUUGUCCUGUUGUAUAUCCUGGCUGCAAAGCCCCUCCUCACACCCCUGUGGAGGGGCUUGGGUGCCAGUCCUCCUAUUCAAGAAGUGUUUUCAGUCUUCUCAUCCCAGCCAUUAUUGAGUAGCUGGCUGAGUUUCCUGUCCAAGAAGGACACAAUUACCUGCCUCCCACAAUAUACAUCCAGCCAGGAUCAGCUUACUCGUGGCCAGCCAGCCACUCCCCUAAGAGGAGCAGUUGCCGAUAAGCUUGGAAAAAAACAAGUCUCCCUUUAUCUCCUAUUACCUCCAUCACAUUGGUCGUAAAUAAGGUCAGCCGGGAUCUGUCUAGCCUCCAGCCAUGGCCCAGUGUAAAGUAGAUAUGUCAAAGAAAAUGGGAAAAAUCUUUUACACUCCUUCCAUACUUUCUCUCAAGUCACUCAAAGAGCCAAAUGAAAUAGGGUGUGGGUCUUCAUUUCCCAUCGUGCAGUGGAUCCUCCUUUUGUCUUUGUCCUCUGCUAGUUUAUUCUUAAUUCAGAGGCCAGAAGGUUCUAGUUAAAAGGCACACCAGACUAUGUCAAGCCUUUACUCAGAACCUCCAAUAGCUCCAACUGCAAUCAGAAGCUGUGACUGAAGACUCUUGUAUCCCAACCCCUUGUGAAUCUGAUUUCCUACUGGUUCCUUCUCCUCAGCAGCCUCAAUAAUCUUGUUCCUUGAGCUCAUCACCCCACCCUCACCCCCCACCCAGAGCCUUUACUUUCCUUGUUCCUUCUGCCUGGGACAUUCAUCUCCCAGCUAGCCACAAGGCUUCCUCCCUCACUUCCUUUACUCUGUGUGAACCUCACCUUGUCAGUGAAGUCUACUAUGAUGUGCACAGAAGACCUUACCUUUCCCUCUGCUGCUGGUCCUCAUCGCCCUGUUCUAUCAUUCCCAUGGGAUUUACCAUCUUCUAGCAUAACAUAAUUUAUAUAUUGAAUCUGUUUAUAGGUUUUCUCUCCCCAGUAUAAAUGUAAGCUUUAAGAAGCCAUAGAGGGGCCAGGGAUUUAGCUCAGUGGUUCCGGUGCCUGCCUCGCAAGCACAAGGUCCCAAGUUCAAUCCCCAGGACCAAAAAAAAAAAAAAAAAGAAGGCAUAGAUUACGUCCUUUUAGUUUGCUGAUGCAUCUCAAAAAUGUCUAAAACACGAUAGAUAAUAGAAGCUCAAUAAAUAUUUGUCAUAUGAUGUAUACUUCUUAAAUUGAGGAAUCUAGGGGCACCUCAAAGUUAAUGAACAUUGUGGAGGCAUCUGGGACUAAAAAUCAGUUUCCUCCAUGCUAGAACCCACAUCCAUCAUCUAAUCCUCAUUUCCUUUUUAUCAACAACAGCACUUAGGGGAAAAUACCAGAGAGUUCCCUAUGGAGCUGAGUAGAUAGAUUUUUUUUUAAUAUUUAUUUGUUCAUCAAGGUCAAGGAUGCCAUAUGAAAACUCUGUAAGUAUUUUUUUCACAUUAAUACAUUUUCCUGAAAAUGUCCGUGAAUUUGGAUGAUUUUAUAUUCAUAUGCCAAUACUUGAAGAAUAAAUCUCAAACAAGGAGUCUUUGUUGUUAGUAGUGGUGUCUGUGGAGGUGGAGACAGGGAGGUGCAGUUGCGGAGGAGAAAUAUAGAAACAUUAGUUUAAUCAUGUGGGCUACUCUGUUAAUAAAGCUAGUGCCUCCUUUAUGACAAGGAGCUCUGGAAAACCAAAUAGAAAAUUGCUUUCCUUUAAAGAGAUCUACUGAGUCAUCGUCUGAAUCCCCUCUCUGCUACUUCUCACUUGGACUGCUGGUGAUUUUACUCCUAAUUUAUCUAAAGGGAGCUUAUGAAUCAUCAUCAAGAUUAAUUUCCAUUAGCUCCUCUAUCACUAAACACCGAAGUAACCUGUUGUAGUUAUCUAUUGCUGGAUAAUAAAUUACCCCAAAAUUUAGUACGUUAAAACAGCAACCAUUUCAUUUGCUUACAACUCUGUGCUUCUGUAAUUUAGAGUUCAGCUGGGUGGUCUUCCUGUUCCAGGCAAUGCUCACUGUGAUCACUCAUUGGCUGUAUGCAUCUGGUGGCUGGGACCAGCUGUAAGUUGGCUUGUUCACAUCUCUGGUGCCUUAGUUCUCCCCUAUGUGGCUUCUCUUUCUCCAGGCACUUGGGCUUCCUCAAAGUAUGGUGGUUUGAAGACUCAGCAUUGCAAGUUCCACAUCACUGACCUUUUUAUCAUAUUCUCUUGGUCAAAAUAGAACAAAGAACCCAUUGUAUUCAAAGAGAGUAGACUGUCUUUGGGAGGCAUGACAAAGAAUUUGUGACUGUGUUUAAUCCAUUAUACAACCAAGUACAGGUAGUCAGUCCUCAUUUUCCAUCAUACUUUAGCUCAUCUCUCUCUUAAUAGAAGAGGUAAAUGAGAAAUUAAAAAAAGAUGUAUCAAGAGCUGUGAGCAUAUAAGCACCCAAAAUACGCAUCUCCAUUAUUUAUGAAUGCUCUCGCCUUGGCCAAACACUUUAGUAAUUUUUCUGUCACCAAGUCUGUCCCUGAACAUGUUCUACUUCUAUUUAGAACCAGUCUGUCCUCAGAAGUGGCUCCUCAAAUCCUAGAUCCUAAACACCAUGGAGCUCUUACAACCAAACCUUCCCUAUCCCCACUGCUCAUACUUUUCCUGGGACCUAGGAGACUUGGGACAUCUAUUGGUUUCUUAAUUUUAUAUUUUAAAAAUGUUAUUAACAUGUGAAGUGUCUUUAAAUUUUAUAGUAUUGUAAAUCCAAAGGAGAAAAUCUGGCUCCCGCUGACUAGCUCCUACUGACUUAAUUUUGACAUUGAAAUUAUUUCCACAGGAAACUGAUGAAUCUGCCAAGUUGUAAAGCAAGCAGCAGUCCAUUGUAAGAUGAAAGUGAGGCACCGGGGACUCAACCAACACUCAAAGACUAGUGGGCAUGUUUAGGUUGAGCAAGCAGGGAGCUCAGAUCCCUCAUGGCAUCCACCACAGUUACCAGCACAUCUCCCUCAGCAGACAUAAGGCCAUUGGAAGGAGAAGAAAAAAAAAUGGUUUAGGUAAGUUUACAUUUGGCUUGGAUCAGUGUGAGAAUACAGCCUGAAAAUGAAAAACCACCAUAUAACAACCACACUCAAGAGUGACUUUGAAAGAAAAUGGGGAAAAAAAGAGAAUGAAAAUCUUAUCACUGAGUGGAGCUAUAAUUAGAGCAUCUGGCCACUAAUGUUAUGGAAAGACAAGUGGUCCAAGCUGAGUAUGACUUAAUGGAUUGGUUCGAGGUCUAGAAGGAAAAUGACUGGAAAAUUGGAGACAAAGAGGUCUGGGGUGGAGCCACGUGGCCAGACCUACAGGAGUGGGCAUGAAGUAUGCGCAUGUUAAUGUGACAUGUUAAUGUCCACUGGAAAGCAUCCACUACAGAAGUGACAUUGGACAAUUUACAUUAGCUAGCCUUCAUCAUUAGUUCCCUCAGAACAGGCUUGAUGGACUGUCAAAAGAAAUGGCCAUACUGGUGAAAAAGAGCUUCCAUAUGGACCCAAAUGCAAAGACUUCCACUGAAGAAGACUGAUGCAGAUAUCGCCUUCUCUGAAUGUCCAAACUGCUGACAACAAGGACCAAUCCUGAGCCCCAGUAUGCUUCCUUGACAAUUUGUCCUCAUAUCAAUAGACACCUAUUCUGAGUUGUGGAAUUGGACCGGCAGCAUCCCCGGGGAGCUGGUUAGAAAUGCAGCCUCUCCUGCGACUGCAUGACAGCCCCCACCUAACUGCUUCGAGGAAUCGUGUGCAUUGACAAGUUCUGGCACAAGCACCAUCGGGGCUACUUUGCUGUUUGGUGGGUGGGCAGUUGAUGGGGUUGGGAGUGGUCAAUUUGUCAGGUUGGAGAUUUCAAAGACGGGUAAUUCUGGACAUUUUGAAUGGAUAGUAAUCUUAAAACAAUUGUCAGAAGUAGAUGGAGACUCGCUGCAUAUAAUUCCCAACCCUACUGUAUAAAAGCACUAAAUAGCAGACAGUUCUAUUACGGUAUUUCUUGUAGCCUCCUGGUUAGUUCUUACAAGAUGGUUGUUAUAAAAGCCUGAGCUGGUGCUGCCCUCUCUCCCUGGCUUCCUGUUUCUAGAUGUGGUCUCUUCCUCCCACAUUGUCUCCGCCAUCACCAACUGCCAUGGGGCAGCCAGGGUUGCUGCCAUAGUGUUUGGACUUUCAGCCUCCAAACUGGAAGUGAAAAACCCUCUUUAUAAAGUUAGCCUGCCUCAGGUAUUUUUUAUACUAGUGAGAAAAAGACCAGUGCAUGAGCUAAUAUAUGACAUUAACUUUUUAUUUUACUCUUUUUAAAUUUUAUAUAUUUAUUUAUUUUUGGUACCAAGGAUCGAACUCGGGUCCUUGCGCUUGGGAGGCAAGCGACGGAACCACUGAGCUAAAUCCCCAGCCCUAUAUGACAUUCACUAUGGGCCAGGUGCUAUCCUAAAUUCUCCCUGUGAAUUAAUUAUUUAAUCCUCUUUCACCCUAGGAGGUGGAUCUAUUGUUAUCCUCAGUUUACAGCCAAGGAAGCUGAAGUACAGAGAAAUUAUUUGCUCAGAGUCAGAGCUAAUAAAUAGUGAAGACAGGAUUUGGACAUAGUCCAGCUCCACAGCCUAAGCUUUUAACCAUUAUGCUGCACUGCACGGGUAUAAAAUAAAUAAAUAAAUAAAUAAAUAAAUAAAUUCCUAUAUAUUAUGGAUGCACCCUCAAAUAAUUUUAUUGAUGGAAAAGUGAUAAAAAGG
rnacentral:lncRNA from 1 species